AUGGAAGCCACCUCCACCUUCUUCACUACACCUCCCGCGGCCUCAGCCUGGGAGGAGAUCGUGACGGUGCCUGUCGCGUCGCCGUCGCUGUUACCGCAGGGGAGCUCCAGUAGUUCACGUGAUGCGCCGGACUCGCCGCUCAUUGGGGUGCGGAAGCGGCCGUGGGGCAAGUAUGCGGCGGAGAUCCGGGAUUCCACCCGUAAUGGCGCCCGAGUUUGGCUUGGUACCUUCGACACCCCACAGGCCGCCGCACUCGCCUACGACCAGGCCGCCUUCUCCGUGCGCGGCCCGGCCGCCGUGCUCAACUUCCCGGUGAAGCUCGUGCAGGAGUCGCUGCGCACGCUGGACAUCGGCUGCGCCGCCGCGGGGGACUCGCCUGCUCUCGCGCUCAAGCGGCGGCACUGCAUCCGAAAGAGAAGACCCAACAAAAAGAGGAUGUCCAGAGCCACGGCGACGGCAGCAGAGGCGACGAGGCAGGAGGCAGCCGCUGCAUCGUCGUUGUCAACGUGCGUGUUGGAGCUGGAGGACCUUGGAGCGGACUACCUCGACGAGCUGCUCGCCUUGUCCGAGCUGUGA
rnacentral:rRNA from 1 species